UCCGGUUUGUCACCGGCAGUCUCAUUAGAGUGCCCAACUCAAUGCAGCACCUGUGCACGAUCUCCGAAGAGGGGCUCUCGUUUCUGAGAGCUUGCUCGUGCAUGUCAAGUCUAGGUAAGGUUCUUCGCGUUGCGUCGAAUUAAACCACAUGCUCCACCGCUUGUGCGGGCCCCCGUCAAUUCCUUUGAGUUUCAACCUUGCGGUCGUACUCCCCAGGCGGGGUACUUCCUGCGUUAGCGCCGGCACCCAGAGGGUCGCUCCCCCAGGCACCUAGUACCCAUCGUUUACGGCGUGGACUAC
rnacentral:misc_RNA from 1 species